rnacentral:rRNA from 1 species
CAGUCGCCGCGGGAAUACGAAGGGGGCUAGCGUUGUUCGGAAUCACUGGGCGUAAAGGGUGCGCAGGCUGGUUCUUAAGUCAGGGGUGAAAUCCCGAGGCUCAACCUCGGAACGGCCUUUGAUACUGGGGAUCUUGAGUCCGGAAGAGGUGAGUGGAACUGCGAGUGUAGAGGUGAAAUUCGUAGAUAUUCGCAAGAACACCGGUGGCGAAGGCGGCUCACUGGUCCGGAACUGACGCUGAGGCACGACAGCGUGGGGAGCAAACAGGAUUAGAUACCCCUGUAGUCCCUGUCUCUUAUAC